CAUUUCUCGGCGGGCUUGCUGCAGGAUGGAGCGGAUGGCGUCGUCGGAGUUCCCGCUGCUGGACGCGGAGGAAGGCUGGGCCGGCUCUGCUGCACGGAUCAAACACAUAGAUUAUUUGGGAGAACCAUACAGCUCUCCCAACGUUUUUGCCAUCAGCAAACACAGGAGCAUCUGGUCUGAGCAGUGAUAACAGGACUAAGGCUACUGCUCUGUGACCUCCCGGCCUCUACCGCUGGGCGUCUGAUUUGCAUCUGUAAACUUGGGAUGCGUAUCCACUCGAUCAAGGAUACUUAACCAGGAUGGACUUGAUUGCUUCAUCGGACCCGGUCUCGGAGGCUCGGAUCCGGGUAGUGAUGUUACCUGCAGGAAAAAGCCAUGCCAAUGACAUCAAACCCACACCUGGAACACAAACCAGUGCUGCA